GUGCAGCCAGUUAAGCCGACUGUGCUCUCUGCUCCGUGGGGCGCGGUGUGCAGUGGCUGCCGACGCAGCAGCCUCCUUGGUUGUGUCUGCAGCCUGUGGCCUGUAUGGGCUGUCAUAAGGGACCUUGGAGACAGCG